rnacentral:piRNA from 1 species
CUCUCAAGUCCCUAGAUGGC